AAGUUGUCAACAGGUUUGGAACAACUUGUUGACAACUUGUAACGUAACAACCUUGUCGAAAUUUGCAAGGUUGUUCUGACAAGUCUGUGACAUGCUUGAUAUAAGAAGAUUGUUACAACCUUGUGUUGACAACCUUGUAAUAUCCUUGUUAGGCUAUAUCAUGGCUGUAACAAACUUGUUAGCACAAUCUUGUAACAAGGCUGAUAAUGCCAUCAAGCUUGUUACAAGUUGUUAACAGCUUGUUUCAAACUUGUUACAACAAACUU